rnacentral:rRNA from 1 species
GCUUAACGCGAAGAACCUUACCAGGCCUUGACGUGCAGAGAACUUUCCAGAGAUGGAUUGGUGCCUUCGGGAACUCUGACACAGGUGCUGCAUGGCUGUCGUCAGCUCGUGUCGUGAGAUGUUGGGUUAAGUCCCGUAACGAGCGCAACCCGUUGUCCUUAGUUACCAGCACGUCAUGGUGGGCACUCUAAGGAGACUGCCGGUGACAAACCGGAGGAAGGUGGGAUGACGUCAAGUCAUCAUGGCCUUACGGCCUGGGCUACACACGUGCUACAAUGGUCGGUACAGAGGGUUGCCAAGCCGCGAGGUGGAGCUAAUCUCACAAAACCGAUCGUAGUCCGGAUCGCAGUCUGCAACUCGACUGCGUGAAGUCGGAAUCGCUAGUAAUCGCGAAUCAGAAUGUC